ACCAUGCAAGUCGAACGGUGAAGGUGGAGCUUGCUCUGCUGGAUCAGUGGCGAACGGGUGAGUAACACGUGAGUAACCUGCCCCUCACUUCGGGAUAACCUCGGGAAAUCGUGGCUAAUACCGGAUACGAGGCACCUUCGCAUGGGGUGUGCCUGGAAAGAUUUAUCGGUGGGGGAUGGACUCGCGGCCUAUCAGCUUGUUGGUGGGGUAAUGGCCCACCAAGGCGACGACGGGUAGCCGGCCUGAGAGGGCGACCGGCCACACUGGGACUGAGAUACGGCCCAGACUCCUACGGGAGGCAGCAGUGGGGAAUAUUGCACAAUGGGCGCAAGCCUGAUGCAGCGACGCCGCGUGGGGGAUGAAGGCCUUCGGGUUGUAAACCCCUUUCAGCAGGGAAGAAGCGAGAGUGACGGUACCUGCAGAAGAAGCGCCGGCUAACUACGUGCCAGCAGCCGCGGUAAUACGUAGGGCGCAAGCGUUGUCCGGAAUUAUUGGGCGUAAAGAGCUCGUAGGCGGUUUGUCGCGUCUGGUGUGAAAACUCAAGGCUCAACCUUGAGCUUGCACCGGGUACGGGCAGACUAGAGUGCGGUAGGGGUGACUGGAAUUCCUGGUGUAGCGGUGGAAUGCGCAGAUAUCAGGAGGAACACCGAUGGCGAAGGCAGGUCACUGGGCCGCAACUGACGCUGAGGAGCGAAAGCAUGGGGAGCGAACAGGAUUAGAUACCCUGGUAGUCCAUGCCGUAAACGUUGGGCACUAGGUGUGGGGCUCAUUCCACGAGUUCCGUGCCGCAGCAAACGCA
rnacentral:rRNA from 1 species